rnacentral:misc_RNA from 1 species
AACGCACGAGACCUGCGGACCUGCGGAGGGAUCAUUACAGGAUUCGCAAGUCUCCCGUAAACCCCUGUGAACAUACCUAUACUCGUUGCCUCGGCGGGUGCUCCGGUGCGAACCGGGGCGCCAGCCCGCCGGCGGCUCGCUACUCUGUAUUGAAUACUGCAUCUCCGAGCAAUUGCAAACGAAUCAAAACUUUUAGCAACGGAUCUCU